rnacentral:rRNA from 1 species
UGCAGUCGAGCGGCAGCGACAUGAACAAUCCUUCGGGUGCGUCCAUGGGCGGCGAGCGGCGGACGGGUGAGUAAUGCCUGGGAAUAUGCCCUGAUGUGGGGGAUAACCAUUGGAAACGAUGGCUAAUACCGCAUAAUCUCUUCGGAGCAAAGAGGGGGACCUUCGGGCCUCUCGCGUCAGGAUUAGCCCAGGUGAGAUUAGCUAGUUGGUGGGGUAAGAGCUCACCAAGGCGACGAUCUCUAGCUGGUCUGAGAGGAUGAUCAGCCACACUGGAACUGAGACACGGUCCAGACUCCUACGGGAGGCAGCAGUGGGGAAUAUUGCACAAUGGGGGAAACCCUGAUGCAGCCAUGCCGCGUGUGUGAAGAAGGCCUUCGGGUUGUAAAGCACUUUCAGUCGUGAGGAAGGCAUAUGCGUUAAUAGCGCAUGUGCUUGACGUUAGCGACAGAAGAAGCACCGGCUAACUCCGUGCCAGCAGCCGCGGUAAUACGGAGGGUGCGAGCGUUAAUCGGAAUUACUGGGCGUAAAGCGCAUGCAGGCGGCUUGUUAAGCCAGAUGUGAAAGCCCGGGGCUCAACCUCGGAAUAGCAUUUGGAACUGUCAGGCUAGAGUCUUGUAGAGGGGGGUAGAAUUUCAGGUGUAGCGGUGAAAUGCGUAGAGAUCUGAAGGAAUACCGGUGGCGAACGCGGCCCCCUGGACAAAGACUGACGCUCACAUGCGAAAGCGUGGGGAGCAAACAGGAUUAUAUACCCUGGUAGUCCACGCCGUAACGAUGUCUACUUGGAGGUUGGUGUCUUGAACACUGGCUUUCGGAGCUAACGCGUUAAGUAGACCGCCUGGGGGAGUACGGUCGCAA